rnacentral:rRNA from 1 species
CCUACGUGAGGCAGCAGUAGGGAAUCUUCCACAAUGGGCGAAAGCCUGAUGGAGCAACGCCGCGUGGGUGAAGAAGGUCUUCGGAUCGUAAAACCCUGUUGUUAGAGAAGAAAGUGCGUGAGAGUAACUGUUCACGUUUCGACGGUAUCUAACCAGAAAGCCACGGCUAAAUACGUGCCAGCAGCCGCGGUAAUACGUAGGUGGCAAGCGUUAUCCGGAUUUAUUGGGCGUAAAGGGAACGCAGGCGGUCUUUUAAGUCUGAUGUGAAAGCCUUCGGGUUAACCGGAGUAGUGCAUUGGAAACUGGGAGACUUGAGUGCAGAAGAGGAGAGUGGAACUCCAUGUGUAGCGGUGAAAUGCGUAGAUAUAUGGAAGAACACCAGUGGCGAAGGCGGCUCUCUGGUCUGUAACUGACGCUGAGGUUCGAAAGCGUGGGUAGCAAACAGGAUUAGAUACCCGGGUAGUC